AUUGUCCAUUUAAAAAAAAAUUACAUAUAUGCACUUUAUAAAUUAUUUUAUAAUGUGUUUUUUAUAUGCGUUGUUGGUGAAACUAAAAUAAUGCUAUUACAUCAAAAUUAAUAAGUCUUCUAUGAUUAAUUUUAUAAUUAAUUACACAAAUUUUAAUUUUAUGAAUUUUUAAAAUUAGUGGAUAUUUAUUACAUUCUAAUUUUAAAUAUAUACUUUCUUGAAUUAAUGAAAUAAUUAUUGAACUAUUGAAAUAAUAUAGAUAAAAUUAAUUUUUAAUUAAGUUUAGUUUGUUAUUAUUCUAACCAUUUAAACGAAUUGGGCCUUUUAAAUUUUUAAUUAAGUUCAUUUUAAACGAAUUGGGCCUUUUAAAUCUAACCAUUGACUAUUCGGCCACUUAUCAAAAGUAACAUUUAUUAAUUUCCAAGUUCAAAAAAAAAAUAGAAAAGGAAAGGGGGAAAAAAAGGAGAGAUCUAGAAACGGUCGUCUCUUCUUGGCCGACGAACAAUCGAUGAGAUGAAGAUUGAAAUCGAUGGUGCUAUUCAAAGUUAUACAACAUAUAUUUGAGAAAGACAACUUCAGAAAUAAGAAAUCGAAUGAUCCUUAUGUAAAAGGCUUAGUUUUCACAGAUGAAGAGUUUCUUAGAUCUGAAAUUAUGUCACAGAAGAAGAUCAACCGUAUCAAAUGUUGGGGACUUUAACACAUCUGAAGAAUCGAACAAAGGUAACCAUUAUCAAAGCUUUUCAUAUAAUAUUUGAUAAACUCUCUGAUUUCACAGAAGCUUUUGACUAAAUUUUAGAAAGUCAUUUAGGAUAAUAUAUGGUUACCAUCGCCAUGUUUUGUUGUUGUUUUUUGCAGUUAAAUCAGACAUCUAAUCUAAGUUCAGAUGUAAUGGUGGUGCUGCUCCGUGGUGAUACAAAUAGCUGAAGAAAUAAGUUUAUAAGAAGUGUAGCAUUACACUUGCGUCUUACAAAGAAAGGUUAAUAAUGCUAAGAAGAUAAAAAAGCCUGAUAAUUCUUAUAAACCCCUUAUCUAAAAUUUCUUAAUAGUAUAAGAUUGCUUUGUAUUAGACAAUAAGUAACUCAAUAUUAAGUGAUUUGCUUUAGUUGCAGUUUCUAGGUGGUUGAAUGAGUAAGGAAUUUUGAUAGUGUGAUUCGGCUUGCAGAUAGGAAGGGAUUGAACAUGAACUAAUACUACCACCCAAAAAGAUAAGUAUCUUUUUUUACUUUACCAGAAUUUAAAUAUAUAGUAACUUACUGUUAUACUGUGUUCUUUUGACAGGACAAUAUGCGUAGUACAUGGUACAUCCAAAUGGAAAUUAAGAAGCAAAUUGAUGACAACGACUAUUAACACAACUUUCUUCAGUGCAUUUAAUCAGCAGAAUGGAGAAUAUCGGUUAAGUUUCCCCAAAUGCAGCAUGGUAUUCUUGAAUCACUAUAGGGUGGCGCCAGUCAAAAAGCGAGGCAUGGUUUGUUGUGCGAUAAGCUCCUCCUGCAGGCCUAACAUGGAAGUUUCGGAUGUAGCGCCAUGCUCCAACCGGAAGAAGGCUUCCUUUACUGUCAAUGUAAGUUUUUUUGCAGGUUGCAUGAAUUUUAUGCCCCUUUUACAUGUUCCAAAUACAUUUAGAAUAUUAACAUCAUUUAGAAUAAUAACAUUCUAAUAAAAACGUUAAGGGAAUAAUUUA